rnacentral:lncRNA from 1 species
UCAAAACUCUUCUCGCAGAGUUGCGAUCUAUGCACUCCCAACUAUUCAGCACGUGGAGUCGCCGAGUCGGACCACCCUUGACCACAUCUUCUCGCGUUGUCAUGGUGCUGCCCGUGGGAAUUCUAUUGCCACAACGACGACGCAAAACGCAAUAGCGCAGCCACCCUUUCCAUCUCUUCACGCAAGAACACUUUGGCCUCUUCCCUCCAUCUCGUCAUACUUCUUCAUAAUUUUGGAUAAUUCUUUUUAUUAGUUUUGAAUGUUUCUUUCUCUUAAAUUUUGGAUGUUUUCAUUUUAUGUUUUAAAUAUUCUUUUUUUUGGGUUUUGGAUAUUUUUUUUUAAUAGUUUUCGAUUUUUUCUUAGUUUUUUUUAAUAUUUUGUUGUAUGUCUC